CCCAGUGGACAAGCGAAGAUAGAUCGCUUUCAACUAAAUUCAAGGACCUCAACUGUAGCACUCAUCUGGACGUGCAUGUGAUGGAAUUACACUGAUAGGAAAUUGCAUUUUCUUGUUUGAAAUGCCCCUUAUACUGAUGCUUUUCGAAGUGCUUUAACCUGACGGGUUAUAAAUGGUGCAGAAGAAAGUUGUUGCCUUGAGUUUCACAUUGUUCUUCCUACUACUACAGACAGAAUUAGAGAAAUAGCAUUUGUUGGCUUCAUUGAUCCCGUAUUUGUAAAUUAAGUCUCAGAUUGAAUAUGGAUUUAUAAUCCUUUGAUGACGAAGGAUUCAAGGUGACACAGCAAACAAAAAC
rnacentral:lncRNA from 1 species